GGGAAACCCUGACCCAGCGACGCCGCGUGGGUGAAGAAGGCCUUCGGGUUGUAAAGCCCUGUCACGGGGGACGAUAGUGACGGUACCCUGGGAGGAAGCCCCGGCUAACUACGUGCCAGCAGCCGCGGUAACACGUAGGGGGCGAGCGUUGUCCGGAAUUACUGGGCGUAAAGGGCGCGUAGGCGGUUAGCCGUGUCAGGUGUGAAAGGCUGGGGCUUAACCCCAGACCUGCACUUGAGACUGGCUAACUUGAGGGCAGGAGAGGCAGGUGGAAUUCCUGGUGUAGCGGUGAAAUGCGUAGAUAUCAGGAGGAACACCGGUGGCGAAGGCGACCUGCUGGACUGGCCCUGACGCUGAGGCGCGAAAGCGUGGGGAGCGAACAGGAUUAGAUACCCUGGUAGUCCACGCUGUAAACGAUGGGUACUAGGUGUAGGGGGUUAUGAUACCCUCUGUGCCGUAGCUAACGCGAUAAGUACCCCGCCUGGGGAGUACGGCCGCAAGGUUGAAACUCA
rnacentral:rRNA from 1 species